rnacentral:rRNA from 1 species
AUUGAACGCUGGCGGAAUGCUUUACACAUGCAAGUCGAACGGCAGCACGGACUUCGGUCUGGUGGCGAGUGGCGAACGGGUGAGUAAUGUAUCGGAACGUGCCCAGUCGUGGGGGAUAACGUAGUGAAAAUUACGCUAAUACCGCAUACGAUCUAUGGAUGAAAGCGGGGGAUCGCAAGACCUCGCGCGAUUGGAGCGGCCGAUAGCAGAUUAGGUAGUUGGGGAGGUAAAGGCCCACUAAGCCAACGAUCUGUAGCUGGUCUGAGAGGACGACCAGCCACACUGGAACUGAGACACGGUCCAGACUCCUACGGGAGGCAGCAGUGGGGAAUUUUGGACAAUGGGCGAAAGCCUGAUCCAGCCAUUCCGCGUGCAGGAUGAAGGCCCUCGGGUUGUAAACUGCUUUUGUACAGAACGAAAAGGUUUCUACUAAUACUAGGAGCUCAUGACGGUACUGUAAGAAUAAGCACCGGCUAACUACGUGCCAGCCGCCGCCGUAA